rnacentral:lncRNA from 1 species
CUUUCCAAAGUCGAAGAAAAGAUCAGCCAUACAAUGGAAGAGCUGGAGACCUACUGAAAGCGAGCCCGAUUGCUAGAAGAAGAAUUGGAGAGAACCAUUCAUUCCUGUCAGGGGCAGAUUAUUUCCUCUGAGAAAAAAGCACAUGAUAGUGAGUUGGCAGCUCAGGUUGCUGAAAGAAACCUCAGUUAUUUCAGGAAACAAAAUGCUCACAACAGAUAAAAAUUAACUGAGAAGGAGCUUAGAUUUGAACUUGUA